CUUCGGUAGAAGCUCUUAGUGGCGAACGGGUGAGUAACGCGUUGGUGACCUGCCCCGAAGAGGGGGAUAACAGCUCGAAAGGGCUGCUAAUACCCCAUGUGAUCCAAGAGGUUAGAAACAUUGGAUUAAAGGAGAAAUCCACUUCGGGAGGGGCCUGCGUCCCAUCAGCUAGUUGGUAGGGUAACGGCCUACCAAGGCGAAGAUGGGUAGGGGGCCUGAGAGGGUGACCCCCCACAAUGGAACUGAAACACGGUCCAU
rnacentral:rRNA from 1 species